rnacentral:rRNA from 1 species
GGAGUAGUCGAUGGCAAUUAGGUUAAUAUUCCUAAACCUCUUAAGUGUGACGGGUUUCGUAUUUGUAUAGAUCUUAUUGGAUUGAUCUAUGCUUAAAAGAAGCUCCAGGAAAUAGCACUUAUAUUUAUGAGGCCGUACCGCAAACCGACACUGGUGGAUGAGUAGAGUAUACUAAGGUGUUGAAAGAAUGAUGUUGAAGGAACUCGGCAAAUUAUACCUGUAACUUCGGAAGAAGGGUAACCUGCUUUUAGGUAACUAUGAGUAGGUGGCACAAAAUAGGGAGUAGCGACUGUUUACUAAAAACACAGGACUCUGCAAACACGUAAGUGGAAGUAUAGGGUCUGACGCCUGCCCGGUGCUGGAAGGUUAAUAGGAAGGGUGCAAGCUCCGAAUUGAAGCCCCAGUAAACGGCGGCCGUAACACUGACGGUCCUAAGGUAGCGAAAUUCCUUGUCGGGUAAGUUCCGACCCGCACGAAUGGCGUAACGAUUUCUCCACUGUCUCCAACAUCACUUCAGCGAAAUUGAAUUCCCCGUGCAGAUGCGGGGUACCCGCGGUUAGACAUUUAGGAGCUCUAGGCUGUGACCUUAGGCAGCUCCUUCUAUUAAAAGUGUGAUGUGCAGGAUAGGUGGGAGACUUUGAAGUUAUGGCGCUAGCUAUAAUGGAGUCAACCUUGAGAUACCACCUUUUACACUUUUGAUAUCUAACUAUGUUUCAUUAUCUGGAACUAGGACAUUGUAUGGUGGGUAGUUUGACUGGGGCGGUCGCCUCCUAAAAAGUAACGGAGGCGUGCGAAGGUAAGCUAGAGCUGGUCGGAAAUCAGCUUGAUAGUAUAAUGGCAUAAGCUUGCCUGACUGCGAGGCUGACAAGCCAAGCAGAGACGAAAGUCGGUCAUAGUGAUCCGGUGAUUCUGUAUGGAAGGGUCAUCGCUCAACGGAUAAAAGGUACGCCGGGGAUAACAGGCUGAUGGUGUUCGAGCGUUCAUAGCGACGACACCGUUUGGCACCUCGAUGUCGACUCAUCACAUCCUGGGGCUGAAGAAGGUCCCAAGGGUUCGGCUGUUCGCCGAUUAAAGUGAUACGUGAGUUGGGUUUAGAACGUCGUGAGACAGUUCGGUUUCUAUCUGCCGUGGG